UUAGGUUUUAUAGAUGGAAGAGUGCAAUUUUGGAGAUUUUGGGCUAAGAAUGGCGUUUUUAGGAUAGCUCUGUCGCCAGAGCUGAGCUGCGAGCGUAACUCUGUCGAGCUGACUUGUAAAGUUAGAGCCGAAAUUUCCAGAGCUGAACUUCCCUGUUUUUACAGGGAAUUUAUUUUUUAUAAAAUAUUUAUAAUAUUUAUACGACUGAAGACAGUGUUGUUGGAGCCAAACAUAGUUGGUUGCCUAGAGAAUCUUGGGCUAUUCGAAGUAAAGUGGGCUUCUUGGGAUUG
rnacentral:lncRNA from 1 species